rnacentral:misc_RNA from 1 species
GAUGAAGAACGUAGCGAAAUGCGAUACGUAAUGUGAAUUGCAGAAUUCAGUGAAUCAUCGAGUCUUUGAACGCACAUUGCGCCCCCUGGUAUUCCGGGGGGCAUGCCUGUCCGAGCGUCAUUGCUGCCCUCAAGCACGGCUUGUGUGUUGGGCCUCCGUCCUCCUCCCGGGGGACGGGCCCGAAAGGCAGCGGCGGCACCGCGUCCGGUCCUCGAGCGUAUGGGGCUUCGUCACCCGCUCUUGUAGGCCCGGUCGGCGCUUGCCGACACAUCAAUCUUUUUUCCAGGUUGACCUCGGAUCAGGUAGGGAUACCCGCUGAACUUAAGCAUAUCAAUAAGCGGAGA